CCCUGAGCGAGUCGUCCAAGUAAGGACUAUGAACAAGCUCCCCAGAUAAGACAACGACAAAUGUAGUGCCUCUAUGCAAGAAAAUAUGAGGCUGAACUUCCCUCAGCACCUCCAAAAAUCUCCGGUCAUCCUCUGAAAUACCGCUGCUACUGCAGCUUCUACUACACCUGCACGCUUUCCCCACCCACACCAACUCUUUUCUUCCAAAAUUUCUCCUCAGUCUCAAGCCGUGACAGUACACAUCUUUUAGGUGGUUGUAACCGAGGAGAUUUGGUGUGCUGUGACAUGAUGAAGAGCUAGUUUCUGCAUGAUUUUGCAGAGAAAUCCAUGACCUGAACCUGGAUUGGAAGGUGGCCAUGGUUUUUCUCUUUUCCUUAGCACUGUGAGGAGGAUGGAUGACUCAGAAGAACAGAGACAGGUCGCAUAGCAUACAUAUAUACAUAUAUGCGUGGACGAUUAUAUUAUAUCAGCAAGAAAUUACGAGGCUGAACGGUGGAGUAUAAAAGAAAUCAGUUGAAGAAAGGAUGAAAAGGAGAAAGUCAAACAGUCCGCUUAAUGGGAUGGAGUUAAGUAUAUAAUACCUCAUUAUCAUAUAAUGGGAUGGAGUUUUCUCUGCCACCAAACAUUCCGCAUCUACAAUGGCAGUGAGUGGCAGAUCAUUAACUGUUGUAGAUUUUAGGGAGGUGAAAAGAAUUAUGCUCAAUAAUAUGAGAAAAUUCCAAUGGCAUAUAAGUAUGUGCCUUUUAAUCAAAUGGAAUCUAUACUAUUUUGUUGGACUAUAUUUGUUCAACUCCAUUAUUUUUCUUGAUUGUUUGUCCUUUCUCUCUUUCUCAUUUUGUUGGUUCCAUGUUAAUGUGCCUUUAAAAAAAUAGAUUUUAUUCUCUCCAAUUCAAUUAGUUUAUACUCAAAAAGCGAGACGAGCUUGAUUGGUUCCAAAUUCCAUUUUUUCCAUUUUUUAAAGAAAUAUUAAAGAAAAUAAUAUUUUCCAUUUUUUAGACUAGUUUUUCUCUCGAGCUUUCCGUCGAAUGUCUGCCCUCUGAGGGCCUUCUCACCUCCUCUGGGUGAGGGAACGCUCUUCCCUACCCCAGACCCAGAGUGUAGGUAGUCCCUCCCUACCUCUAGGUUGGAGUGCAUAUAUUUUUUGGGUUUGGCUUCAUAUCUUUGUGCUUCUUGUGAGGGUUCUUUUGUAGAUCUAUGGUUCGAUGUUGGUUAUGAGGGUGAUCUUGGCCGGAGCAAAGAGGUGGAGUAAUGAGCGGUUUCCGACGAUGGUUACCGGGCCGGGGUUAAAAAGGUUGUAGGUGUUAGUUACCAGUUAUCAUCCAGCGCCCCAUAUCAUAAGCUUGGUUCAGCUAUCCUUGUUUGGUAGAGCCUCAAUGUUGUUUACAGUGCAGGAUGUGCGGUAGAAGGAAGAGCUCGUUGUCUUCUCAGGCGGCAAAGGGGGUAACGAUAUGGCUAUUAGAGUGCUCUUCUUGGAUUGCUGGGUUUGUCUGUACUGUUUCCUUUGUGUUCUUGGCUUGACUGAGGCUUCGGUAUUUUGGCUUUUGUUCUGCUGUGAUGCGGUGCUGUUGGAUGUGGGUAGGCACUUUAUGCGGUGUUUCCUUCUUUUCUACCGAUGGUGGGUUGCAGCAAAACCCUGGAGGAGUUUCGCCGAAAGUUUUCUUUGGUGACGGCUUCUGGAGAUUUCUCUAGAGCAAUGUAUUGGGCUUGGUUCAUCCUUUGGGUUUUAUUUUUGUUUUAUUUUAUGUAUUAUUUGGAUGGGCUGGGUCCUUAGCCCCUCUUGUACUGUUCUUUAACAAAAAAAAUCCAAUCAAAUCAAACGCUGUGUUUCAUGUCCCACUCUCACUAAAU
rnacentral:misc_RNA from 1 species